rnacentral:rRNA from 1 species
GACGAACGCUGGCGGCGUGCCUAAUACAUGCAAGUCGAACGCAGUGGGGACGGGUGAGUAACACGUGGGUAACCUCCCAUCAGAGGGGAUAACACUUGGAAACAGGUGCUAAACCGAUACUGAUGGAUGGACCCGCGGUGCAUUAGCCAGUUGGUGAGGUAACGGCUCACCAAGGCCACGAUGCAUCACCGACCCGAGAGGGUGACCGCCCACAGCGGGACGGAUACACGGACCUGACUCCUGCGUGAGGCAGAAGUAGGGAAUCUGCGGCAAUUGACGAAAGUCGUACAGAGCAACGCCGCGUGAGUGAAGAAGGUUUUCGGAUCGUAAAACUCUGUUGUUAGAGAAGCGGUAUCUAACCAGAAAGCCACGGCUAACUACGUGCCAGCAGCCGCGGUAAUUC